rnacentral:rRNA from 1 species
UAGAGACCGGCGCACGGGUGCGUAACGCGUAUGCAAUCUACCUUUUACAGAGGGAUAGCCCAGAGAAAUUUGGAUUAAUACCUCAUAGUAUUACGAAAUGGCAUCAUUUUGUAAUUAAAGUCACAACGGUAAAAGAUGAGCAUGCGUCCCAUUAGCUAGUUGGUAAGGUAACGGCUUACCAAGGCUACGAUGGGUAGGGGUCCUGAGAGGGAGAUCCCCCACACUGGUACUGAGACACGGACCAGACUCCUACGGGAGGCAGCAGUGAGGAAUAUUGGACAAUGGGCGCAAGCCUGAUCCAGCCAUGCCGCGUGCAGGAUGACGGUCCUAUGGAUUGUAAACUGCUUUUAUACGAGAAGAAACACUCCUACGUGUAGGAGCUUGACGGUAUCGUAAGAAUAAGGAUCGGCUAACUCCGUGCCAGCAGCCGCGGUAAUACGGAGGAUCCAAGCGUUAUCCGGAAUCAUUGGGUUUAAAGGGUCCGUAGGCGGUUUAAUAAGUCAGUGGUGAAAGCCCAUCGCUCAACGGUGGAACGGCCAUUGAUACUGUUAAACUUGAAUUAUUAGGAAGUAACUAGAAUAUGUAGUGUAGCGGUGAAAUGCUUAGAGAUUACAUGGAAUACCAAUUGCGAAGGCAGGUUACUACUAAUGGAUUGACGCUGAUGGACGAAAGCGUGGGUAGCGAACAGGAUUAGAUACCCUGGUAGUCCACGCCGUAAACGAUGGAUACUAGCUGUUGGAAGCAAUUUCAGUGGCUAAGCGAAAGUGAUAAGUAUCCCACCUGGGGAGUACGUUCGCAAGAAUGAAACUCAAAGGAAUUGACGGGGGCCCGCACAAGCGGUGGAGCAUGUGGUUUAAUUCGAUGAUACGCGAGGAACCUUACCAAGGCUUAAAUGUAGAUUGACCGUUUUGGAAACAGAACUUUCGCAAGACAAUUUACAAGGUGCUGCAUGGUUGUCGUCAGCUCGUGCCGUGA